AGUGAACGCUGGCGGUAGGCCUAACACAUGCAAGUCGAACGGCAGCACAGUAAGAGCUUGCUCUUACGGGUGGCGAGUGGCGGACGGGUGAGGAAUACAUCGGAAUCUACUUUUUCGUGGGGGAUAACGUAGGGAAACUUACGCUAAUACCGCAUACUACCUACGGGUGAAAGCAGGGGAGCUUCGGACCUUGCGCGAUUGAAUGAGCCGAUGUCGGAUUAGCUAGUUGGCGGGGUAAAGGCCCACCAAGGCGACGAUCCGUAGCUGGUCUGAGAGGAUGAUCGGCCACACUGGAACUGAGACACGGUCCAGACUCCUACGGGAGGCAGCAGUGGGGAAUAUUGGACAAUGGGCGCAAGCCUGAUCCAGCCAUACCGCGUGGGUGAAGAAGGCCUUCGGGUUGUAAAGCCCUUUUGUUGGGAAAGAAAAGCAGCAGGUUAAUACCCCGCUGUUCUGACGGUACCCAAAGAAUAAGCACCGGCUAACUUCGUG
rnacentral:rRNA from 1 species